UACGGAGGGUGCGAGCGUUGUCCGGAAUCACUGGGCGUAAAGGGCGCGUAGGCGGCGCGGGGAGUCAACGGUGAAAGCUCAGGGCUCAACCCUGAGUCGGCCGGUGAUACUCCCGUGCUCGAGCACUGUAGAGGCAGGUGGAAUUCCGGGUGUAGCGGUGGAAUGCGUAGAGAUCCGGAAGAACACCGGUGGCGAAGGCGGCCAACUGGACCACAACUGACGCUGAGGCGCGAAAGCGUGGGGAGCAAACAGG
rnacentral:rRNA from 1 species